AUUGAACGCUGGCGGCAUGCCUUACACAUGCAAGUCGAACGGCAGCGCGGGCUUCGGCCUGGCGGCGAGUGGCGAACGGGUGAGUAAUACAUCGGAACGUGCCCAGUAGUGGGGGAUAGCUCGGCGAAAGCCGGAUUAAUACCGCAUACGACCUGAGGGUGAAAGCGGGGGAUCUUCGGACCUCGCGCGAUGGGAGCGGCCGAUGGCAGAUUAGCUAGUUGGUGGGGUAAAGGCCUACCAAGGCGACGAUCUGUAGCUGGUCUGAGAGGACGACCAGCCACACUGGGACUGGGACACGGCCCAGACUCCUACGGGAGGCAGCAGUGGGGAAUUUUGGACAAUGGGCGAAAGCCUGAUCCAGCAAUGCCGCGUGUGUGAUGAAGGCCUUCGGGUUGUAAAGCACUUUUGGCGGGAACGAAAAGGACUGUGCCAAUACCACGGUUCGAUGACGGUACCCGCAGAAUAAGCACCGGCUAACUACGUG
rnacentral:rRNA from 1 species